rnacentral:tRNA from 1 species
GGUAUAGCUCAGUUGGAUAGAGCGCAGGAUUGUGGCUCCUGAGGCCGUGGGUUCAAACCCCAUUAC